UAAAAAAAGAUUAACAUUGACUGGACACACAAAGUAUUAAUUUAUUUUUCUAUGUGCAGGGACAUUGUGGAUUUCUCCUUUUUUAUGUUUUGCACCAUUUAAAUGAUAAGAAAAAAAAGUCAUUUUAUACUGAUUUAUACUGGGCACCCUGUUGUCAUCUGUGCACAUGUUUGUUUGGGUCAGUUUUGUACCAGUGGAGGAUAAUAAUGGGAAGGGUGGUCAGAUGGGAGGGCAAAGGGGAAGGAAGCUAACAUUGUAUUUGAAAAAAUACCAAAAUAAACUCUGGAUUAAGUAAUGGUGGUGUUGUUACAUAUUUUAGUAGUUUUCUUUCUCUUUCAAAAACAAAUGUAGCCUAAGUUUUUUUUUCAGUUUUGUCAACUUACAAUUUAUUUUUUACCAGAUUUGUAUCCAUUUAUUUUCUUUUUUGUUAACACGUUUAUUUGCUUUUUUAUUUUAUUUUAUUGCAUAACCUUUUUUGACCUCUUCCAUGGAUACAUGGCUUUAGAUUGAUUCCCUUCUGCAGUUAUUCAAUUUAAUAUUCCUUAUUGGUUCUCUUAAAAUUUGGCUUUUUCUUGGCGUAUAUAUUUAUAUUUGAUUUAACCAACUUUCCUCAAAAUACAUGACCUAACUUUUAUAUCAAGCGCUGAUAUGUUUGUUGAAAAAAUGUCUUUAAUCGGCUGCCUGGUAUUGAAUUAUAUAUUUUUCCUUAUUAUGCACCAAACACUUCUGACAUGCCAUUCUAAAUAUAGGAGUUUAAUAAAUGAAUACACAUUUGUGUCAGAUGAUAUUAGUAUAGUACAAUGUUAUUCUGAAUCGAUUUCACUAACAAUGGGUUGUUUUGCUUUAGAAUAAAGGGAAGAGUAUUUUUAGAUGGAGUUAAUUACAUUUUUUGUGCUGUAAGUUUAACAAUUAAUACGCUGAAUAUUAACGGUGAGGCGAUUUACUUCCUCUGAAUUACAUGGCAUUAAUUACACUGUCGAUUGACUGAAGAGAUAGCAGUGGCAGAAUGGGAUUUAUUCAGUCACAAUAGGAACAAAAAUGAAUAAUCAUAAAGCUGAGAGGUGCCAACGGAAGCUGAGCAUCUUAAAAUUCAAACUGUGUGUUCACACAUGCACACACACACAUGUGCACAGCAAAACUGAUGACUUCCAGCUGCCAUGGGACAUUGGUGUGUGUGUGUGUGUGUGUGUGUUCAGAAGUGGGGGUCUGAUUCUGCUACAUCUGCUCCUGCCCUGGUAAUUAAAAGCUCACUUUCCUCCUGAACCCCUGCUCCCCCAAAACUUCACUCACCUCCCCCUCCAGGAGUCCUCAGUCCCCCCUGCCUAAAACACUCUCUCUCUCUCUCUCUCUUUCUCUCUUUUUCUAGCCUGCAUUUAAACAACACAACCCCCUUCUCUUCCACUCUCUUUCACCAGGCUCUUGCGUACCCCCACCCACCUCCACUCGCUAUCAGAGCUGUCAGUCAAAGUGUGGCUGUUUAAACACCAUCCACCCUGGGCCUUCCUCUUUGAAACCCUCCACCCUUAGAGCCACACAUAAUGGCAGGAGCACUGACCAUGUAAAAACAUGUUUUUCUAUAAUUAUGAGGACACACAUGGUCCCUAGAAGCCCAUUACUCUUAACUUUAAAGGAAGAACUCUGGGAGUUGAUCUGGGACAUUAAUGUGGUUGAAGGUCACCUUGAACUGUCAGUGGGUAAAACUAAAUAAUUAGAUCCAGCACCGACCAAGUUGUCAUAUUGUUUUUUGUUUUUUUGUAAUUCCCCAAAUGGAACUCCGCACACAACACGGAAGCAGUUCAUAUUGCAGAGCACUUGUGAUAAUAUUUUGAGGACACUGAGAAGCGAACAGCAUCAUGCAAAGGGUUAGAACUGUUGUAUUUCUCCUUUAAUUGUGUUUCAAUGACAGGCACCUGGAGCAGGAUAGUAGUGUGGAAGUGGUUAUAAGAUUAUAAUCCCUGCUUAGAGAAAACUCAAAGGACCCCUAGUUCACGAGCAAGAACAAUUAUAAGAACAAUAACUUUAAGUAGGUGUUUAUGUUUGUAGGUGUCAUAAAAUUUAACUGGCAUCAAUUUGAUUUGUAUUUGGUUUUCCUGUCACGGAGCAGAUAUUUUUUGACUUUUUGAAGACAUCAGGCUAGAUUAUUGAAGGUCUGACAUGAUUUUCUCACAAUCUUUUAAACACACACACACAAGGAGAUAGGGAUGAGCCACUGUGUCCAUCAUCGAUCACAGUCCCCCAGAAUCCCUCCCUGGGGGUCAGAGAGCUUACUAGCUGAUGAAGGACCCCUGUGUGCUGCCAGGCCAGGUGCCUGAUCAAAAAGUCAAAGGAUUACUAAACUCUGGUGUUAAAAGACAGUCAAUCUCUCCUCCUCUCUGUCGCACACACACACAGAGCAGGGUUAAGCCCUGGAUGAUUAGACAAAUGUAGGGCAGAUAUGGGCUGAGCUGCUGUCACUGAGGAAUGCUGUGUGGGCUGCUGUGUGGCUCUGACUGGACAAAACCAUGUAAACGUUCUAUUUCCUUUGGCUUCCAGACGCAGCUUCUCCUGCAGGCUGGAGAGGAAACACAGAAUAAAACCAGUGAAAGAAGAAAGACCACAAAGUUGAACUUAAUUUGAUUUAGAAUUAAAUUUGGUUUGUCCUGAUUGCAUUAGAAAAAAAAAACAACACACAAAUGACACAGCUUGAAAUCAUUUGACACAAAGUUUUAUCAAAUGUUCUGUUGUAGUUUGCAGUAAUGUUUGAUUUAUUCUUGCAGGAACGGACUUGUGAUUUUAUGUUUUAUCUUAGAAAUUGGCUGUUUAGUAUUUCUUCAUGAAGGCAAAUUCUGGGAUUCUGGGAAACAAAGGGAAGAAAUGCUUUCUUCUGUUUGUGCAGGAUUAAAAAUUCAUAUAUUCCUCUGUAGCAGACACUGUGUCCCGGCCAAGUAGAGAUCAGAGCGAAACCAUAAAACUAGUUAACUGCCAUAAGUAAUUCCUACACAGGUUUUCACAUAUGUUUGGUAAUUCAGUUAAAUUAUUUAAUUAGACCUUGGCCUUAAAGAGCCGGAGAGGGAGAGCAGAACGAGGAGAAAGACUCUGUUGUAAUAAACCAUUAGGUGCAGGAGGCAGGGAGGCUCGCGUGUUCAUGUACAGUAAUGCAGUGUAAAUCAUCACAGAGUGAGUGCUAUUACGAGGUUUAAGUCUGGCCAGGAACCUGCAGUCAGCUGCCAGGGGCCCUGAUCCGGUGCCGAGUGGAACCAGAUCUGGCACACGGGGAGAGAAGGAGGAGAAAGUGUGCAAGGGGAGAGUGGAGAGGGAGACAGCUGAAGAGUUUUUGUGUGCCCCCCAACACUCCCCGCCCCCUCCCCCACAGGUCUCUCUCCUGUUGGCUAAUGGUGGUGAGGAGAAGCAGCAGGAUUCAUCCUCAUCCCUCUUCAUUGCAGGACAGCCUGUAUUCUUCUGCUAAAUGACCCCCCCUCCCCAUCCCCCUCACACAUACACAUACAAAGUGUCCAUGAUGAAUGACAUGUAACAGUUUCUAUGAAGCAUCUGCACUAACGGGAAUCAACACCAAACCAUUAAUCUAUCUAUCUAUCUAUCUAUCUAUCUAUCUAUCUAUCUAUCUAUCUAUCUAUCUAUCUAUCUAUCUAUCUAUCUAUCUAUCUAUCUGUCUGUCUAUCUGUCUAUCUAUCUAUCUGUCUAUCUGUCUGUCUGUCUGUCUGUCUAUCUGUCUGUCUGUCUGUCUGACUGUCAUAAUUCAAAACCAACUUCAUCUAUUUGCCUCUCCUCCUGACCGUGUUUUAUUUUCUUUUUUCCUCUAUUUAUUUAUCCAGAGACAUAAUAAAGAGUGGACAUCGCAUUGGCUGCUCGGGCGCAAGAAAUACGGCCACCAUCUUGGACCGGUCAGCAGACAGCAAAGACACAAGGGAGAUCUGUGAGCACUAUAAUAAAGAGAGUCGUGACUCUAUAAAUCAUCAGAGGACGAAAGUGAUGGAUUCAGAAAAUUCCACCAUCGCCUCAGGCAGACACAUCAGCCAGUGAUGACUGGAAACCAGCAACUGCAUCAUCCCAGUGAAAGACCUGAACUGCGAUCUGAGAAGAAGAAACAGCUCUUCUCUGUAACAACUACUCUCGGGUCCAAGCAUAAAAGCCAGGGAUGAAUAAGAGCACUAUGUCUUAUUAGGACCAGGUUGCGCUCCUCGCUGAGAUCCACGGGUUCUCAAAGGUCAGUAUGUGUGCCAGAAAAUGUACACACACACACACGACUAUCAGGGACUCUUAUACACGCACUUAAAAUACACACACGCACGAACACC